rnacentral:rRNA from 1 species
UACGGAAGGCAGCAGUGGGGAAUAUUGCACAAUGGGCGAAAGCCUGAUGCAGCUAUGCCGCGUGUACGAAGAAGGCCUUAGGGGUUGUAAAGUACUUUCAUCGGGGAGGAAAAAACAAAACUAAUAAUUUUAUUUCUUGACGUUACCCGAAAAAGAAGCACCGGCUAACUCCGUGCCAGCAGCCGCGGUAAUACGGAGGGUGCUAGCGUUAAUCAGAAUUACUGGGCGUAAAGAGCACGUAGGUGGUUUUUUUAAGUCAGAUGUGAAAUCCCUGGGCUUAACCUAGGAACUGCAUUUUGAAACUGAAAUACUAGAGUAUCGUAGAGGGAGGUAGAAUUCUAGGUGUAGCGGUGAAAUGCGUAGAUAUCUGGAGGAAUACCUGUGGCGAAAGCGGCCUCCUAAACGAAUACUGACACUGAGGGUGCGAAAGCGUGGGGAGCAAACAGGGAUUAGAUACC